UACAGAGGUCUCAAGCGUUGUUCGGAUUCAUUGGGCGUAAAGGGCGCGUAGGCGGCGGGGUCAGUCGGGUGUGAAAUCUUGGGGCUUAACCCCGAAACGGCACUCGAAACUGCCCGGCUGGAGGGCCGGAGAUGAGAUCGGAAUUCACGGUGUAGCAGUGAAAUGCGUAGAGAUCGUGAGGAAGACCCGUGGCGAAGGCGGAUCUCUGGACGGCUAACUGACGCUGAGGAGCGAAAGCGUGGGGAGCAAACAGG
rnacentral:rRNA from 1 species